ACCCAGCUGGCUCAGUUGGUAGAGCAUUUGACUCUUGAUCUCAGGGUUGUGAGUUUGAGCCCCACACUGGGUA
rnacentral:tRNA from 1 species